UACAGAGACUGCGAGCGCUAUUCGGAUUCACUGGGCGUAAAGGGUGCGCAGGUGGGCUCACAAGUCAGGGGUGAAAUCCCACGGCCCAACCGUGGAAGUGCCUUUGAUACUGUGGGCCUCGAGGGGGAUAGGGGCGUGCGGAACUCAGGGUGGAGCGGUGAAAUGCGUAGAUAUCCUGAGGAACACCGGUGGCGAAAGCGGCGCGCUGGAUCCCUUCUGACGCUGAGGCGCGAAAGCCAGGGGAGCAAACGGG
rnacentral:rRNA from 1 species